rnacentral:lncRNA from 1 species
ACAUGAAAUCAACGAACAGUCUUUUGAUCUAAAAGCCCAAUUAUUUGGCUAUAGAAAUCUAAUAUACCUCCUCCUCUUCUUUGUCUUCAUCCUCUCAAAUGCUUUUUGAAUUGCUAGUGGACGUCAUGGAAGGAAGUACCUUUUGGAGUCAGUUAUUAAAUCAAUUAACUACAAAUUUUCCAUAAAUUUAAAGAAAAAUAUAUGGCAAGUGUAGAUUCAUUGUCAUAUUACCUUGAUUUUCUAAGCUAUAUAGACACUAUGUACACACACAUAUAGUAGGUUUGAAGAGGAUAAUUUUACCUUCGUCAUAGAAAUCAACUGCUCUAUGGCUUUUGUUAAAGAAAAGCCUCUUUACAGCAAUAUUUCUUCCAUCUUGCAAAACUCCCGGAAAGAACAAAAGUGUUUAGCUUAGACAUCAAUAUUUAUGAUAACAUUUUAAAUUUUCUAGAAUAGUGUAGAUUAUACAUGUCCGUAGAAUUACAACCUUAUACAAUGUGGCUAAUUCACUUUGUUUAAGCUUGUUGGCUUCAUCAAAAGAAUUAGUUGCUUUCUCAAGUGUGGAAUAUUAUAAGUUCAAGCUGCUGUGAUGAAAUUUCUUUUCCAAUUUCUAUGCAUCACACAAAGCUAGGAAGAGAUAAGACCAUCAUGUUUACCAUCAAUAGUGUUCAAAGACCUUAUUCUACCUAAAUAUCAUAACAUUGAGUGCUUGAUAAUUAUUCAAAAAUCUUUCAAGUAUGGAAAAGUAUAACGUAAUGCAGAUCUAAGAUACAGUGAAGCCACUGCUAAAAAAUUUUCAAUAGAAAGUAAAUUCUUGAUGCUUAAGGCUGAAUAACUAUCUUAUACAGCUUAUAUGUUACACUUAUAUAGGCUAAAUGCAAUCUACCUUUCCUCUUCUUUUGUAUUGUAAUUUGCUUUCAAGUAUAAACUCCAAUCAAUGCUCCAAUAAAUUAAGGGGAAAAAAAAAAAGAAAUAUGGAACCAACAUGUGCCAUUAUAAUAACUGUUAUUUUUUGUGCAAAAGUCAGUUCAAAUGCAUGAUCAAGCUACAAUGGCACAAAAUUGAAGUUUUAACAUCUUAAGAAACAAAAUAAGAAUUUCUAAUAUUCAAAGAUGGAAGUAUGAGAUAUCAGCUUGUCAUGGGAUGGUCUUCAAUUUACAAGGAAUGAGGCUUCUCCUCCUGUAUGGAUAAAAGUCCCAAUAGGAAGAAACACAAAUAAAAGGAACAGAAGAAAGAAAGUUCAAACUUCAAACUGCAAGUGUAGGCAGAAUGAGAAGAGGUAAAAAAUUAUUAUAGAAAAGCUAGGGGAAAGAUCAUAAAGUACACAAGAGUAGGAUUCUAGAAAAUGUCAUUUUGCUUUAGAAUUUCUGAUGACAAAAAAUGAAUAAUAAAUCUCAAUCAGUGGAUGAUGGAAGAAGAGGAGGAGGAUGAGCAGCAGAACCGACUCUGCCUAUGCCGUAUCUCCAGUAUUGUUCUCCCAAAUUAAAGAAAUCAAUUCAAGGAAAUCAUAAUAAUCCAAUAAUUUUAACUGAAAAGGGAUUAAAGACAGGAAAAUGAUAUUCAGCUCUUGACAUGAAAGUAUUGAUUUUUUCCCAAAAAAACCACAAAGAAUAGGUUCAAGAAACUUAUAAAACAAACCUACGUGAUAUAUGUCUAAACAAUAGGGAAAAUAUGAUGGAAGUGCUGUUGAAGCUAAUCAGACGACCAGUAUAAUGGGUUUGCAUGAGACCGAUAGUCGAUUUUAAGUGUGGCAAGACUUGGAGGAGAGUAAAGUUUCAAGCGGGGCUCCUCCGCGCAGUGCAAAGAGACUUUCCUUGUCUCCAGUUACAACAUACCUUUUACUGGUUCAUACUACCAUCACGCUCGAAUCAGAUGGACCCAGACUUGAAAGAUUCCUCUUCUCCUAUCUGUAUCCAUAAUCAAACCAGCAAAAAAAAAAAAAAAAUCUAUAAGGGUUCUGGAAUUUAAGUGAAGCGCGAAGAUCGAGAACGGGAACGUUUGUUACGUUCAAGGUCCCGAUCGUAAUCCUGGUCCUUGCGUAUUCUUCGGUGGUGGAGAGAGAGGGAUGGUUCCUCGUCCAAACCCCGCCCCAUCUUAGACGCGACGGGGCGGCGACUUGCCCCAUUUGCUACACCGUUUAAAUUUUUUUUUUUUUUUUUUUUUUUUGACAUUUUCAAAAUUUUG